ACUUGACUGUCCCAUCUUAUUAAGAGUCUUAAGUGAAAGCCCUGUAUUGAGAAUAUGAGCAUAUUUGAUUAUGAUGCAGUUUUGGCCCACAACCCUGCACAUGUGAAUCCAUUGUUCCACACAUUGCAAAUAAUAUCAAAUAAUUAAAUUUAAUAAUUCAAAAUGUAUUUAAUUUAAAGUGGAUAAACAAUAAAUUAAGAUGAAAGUAUUGUCAGGGUGGGGCUGCUUGUCUCUUUGUUUAGCUGCAAGUUGGAGGCAAGGGUGAUAGAAUAUCCAACAAUGAAAUAACUUGAAAAAUGUUUAAUACAUUGUGUACUGCAACUUCUAAAGGUAUUAGGACAGCAAGAAAAAAGCUGUUUCUCUUUAAAGUCAUAUUUGUGAUUAUGAGAUUAAUAUGAAUGAUAAGCAUAAUAUAAUACAGUAUAUGUUUUAUUUUUUCAUAAAAGUCCAUGAUGUGACCUUCACCGUGCUUCACAGAUGUCAAAGCCUAGAAUGCAUCACCACCUCUGGAACUGUCUCACUCAUCUUUAUAGAUGAUGUAACUUAUGCUUGCUGCAACAGGAAGAGUUAUGAUAUUUACAGAAAUAUUUUGCCUGUACAGUAUAUGUAGGAGAAAAUACUUCUCAUAUUUUUUCCUUAAUGAUCCAUAUCAUACCCAACCAAGCACCAUGAAAAUAUUCCAAAAUAUAUGAUUAAUUCAACCAAAGAAUUCUUUAGGAGAAAAAGAGGAUUAAGGAGUAGCCAAUGAAGUAAAGACACUGCAUGUUAUUCCAAAUGACCACACAUUUUACAUAUUGAAAAAUAUCACCCCUAAUCUAGGCUAGAACUCAAACUGUCUGCAGCAAAGUCUUUGAAAAGAGCCUUCAAUGAUUAUCUAAAAACUUCAGUCUAAAGACUUCAGUGAAUUCAGUGGGAUGCACCCUUCAUGCAGUUCUUGCCUCAAUAGGAUCUGCAGCCAUACACAGUACUAACUUAUUCUGAAAUUUACCAAAAGUGACUAUAUCUUAAUACUCUUAAUUGAAAUCAAAUCACGGGAUUAAAUUGAAGGUGUGUUGUUCUAAUAUGAUGAAACAUAUGACUUACCCAAAAAACAGUAUAUGUGCCAUUCAUAUUAUUAUCAUGAUCACAAGUACAAAUAGGUUAACUGUAAAAUAAACAGUUUUGACAUUGCUGUUUAAGUACUUGUAGAGGGCACUGUAUGUAAGAAUUUUCAACUGAUCGAUAUUGCUACCAUUCUACUUGAAAUAGAUUCCUUGCUGCUCUACUGUUGAGCUGAUGCAACUUUGGUGGUUUAACAGCACAAUGGAAGAAUAUGUACAGUAUGGUGUGGGAUAUGGAUAUGACUACUCCACUAAGAAUCUAAAAAUCAUGUGACAUCUGGAAAUCUUUCUUGCUUUGCCUGGAUACAGUGAUUUUACUCUGAUUAUUUCGAAACAUGUUUUUAUUAUUUACUGUAAUUCUGAAAUACACCUCUUUACUCAUGGUUAUUGGACAUUUGAUUUAACAGCUGUAUCUUUUCAAAUAUAUUUUCAAAAAACAAAAACUAA